UGUGGGGGCGAGCUUGCUCGCGAUGGCGUCAGUCCAGUCAAUAGAGUAUCGACUGAUCCACCGCUAUCGCGAGCAAGCUCGCUCCCACA
rnacentral:misc_RNA from 1 species